ensembl:lncRNA
CCAGAAACUGGCAGAUGGGCUCCUCCUCCAUCACCACCCUUGAUGGCAGUGCAGCAAAGGGGUAUUCAGCGAUCCCGCCAGUGGAGCGGGUGGCAGCGAUGCAAUUGUGUCCUAAGUAAGCCUCCUCCUGGCGUGGAGACCAGAUACUUCCUUCCCGUGCCUGUAGGUAUUCGUCUGGUCUAACUGGCAGUGCCUAUGCGGCUUGCAGGGAAGCUGCUUCCGCCUUACACACUAUGGUGUUUAUGCACUGAAGGAUCUGCACGAGGGUGCUCACGAUCCGGAAGUUCUGAAAGAACUCUGGACCACCACUGACCUCGCGCUCCGAGUGACGAUGGUCACCAUGAGUUCUCUGGGUCAUGCGAUGUCCACACUUGUGGUCCAGGAGCACCAUCUCUGGCUGUGUCUGGCAGACAUGAGGGACAUCGACAAGGUGUGGUUCCUCAAUGCCGCUGUGUCCCAGACCGGUCUCUUCGGUGACGUGGUCGAGAGCUUUGCCCAGCAGUUCUUGGCCACCCAGAAGCAGACUGAGCUGCUGCCUUCACCCGUCUGCCAGCUGCAGUGCCCCAGCCUGCCCCCGCAUCUGUCCCUGCUCCUGCACCACAGCCUCCAGCAAAGCAGCAUCAUGGAGCAGGGUGUGGGCGGGCCACCCCACCUGUCCAUGUCCCCGCCAAACCUGGCGGCAAACACAGGCGACCCAGAGAUGGAGGGAUUUGGUCUUCGGGAGAUGGUGAAUGCACCACUCCCUCCCUCUGAGGAGGGCCAGGUGGAGAAUCUUUUGUUUCGUUUUUUCCCACCAUCGGCCUCAUGGCUGACGGUACCCAGAUACUUGACAAAAGAGCCGUCUGCAACCGAGAGUUGCAGACGGUCAAGCACUGGACCUCACUCAUCCUCCUCCUUUGCCAGAUGGCAGCAGCGGGCGGUUCGAGAGCGUCAACAAAGGCUCUACUCACACACCCUCUGCCAACCCAUGGAACCAAGUGAGCCUUGCACCCAAAACUCACACCACACUCUGGCCUGCUCACAAGCCGCCCGAGUUGGGUCCCUGUGUUCCACCUCGCUGCCCCACUGCGGGUACAGCUGUGGUUCCACUGGUCCCACUUGUACGGUUUCUAAGCACUUGGUCAGCGCUACCCAGCCAUCUCACUGGCUUCUGUGGACCAUCAGCCUCAGCUAUGCGAUUCAGCUCGCC